AGGUACAAGAAUUUCUUAAACUUCUAUUCUACAUACUUUGAGCAAAUUUACUUUUAUUUCUUGUGUAACCUAUAUGCCAUUAGUGGAAAUUAAAAUUACAACUUUUCCCUCACUAGAUGGGCCAAUUCAUUAUUUCUAUUUUUUCCAAAGGAUGAGAACAAAUAGAACCACUGGCCUCUAAAGCAAGAGUUUGUGACUGGCCCUGUUUCAGCAGGAUCAGGGCCAUAUAAAAUAGUCCAUGUGAGAAUUCAAAACAUGACACGGUGCGUUCCAAAGCUUUCACUUACAGGUCUCACUGAGGAAGAAAGACACAGAGGACGUGUAGAUGUUCCUCAACCCCUACAUGAGUUCUAGUGUCCAGCUAGAGUUUCUGGACACUUAUUAUACUUUUUAUUUAAAUUGUCACUUAUUUUCACUUGUUCCUGAUCCCAAGGACAGGACUUGGCCACCUCAGUAUCAGUAGUGGCUCUGAAACAGAUGCAAUCCUGGAGUGUCUAAUGUAUAGACAUUCGUGGCCACAAGCGUGGCUCGGAACUGAACACGCUCUACCUGUGGACUGGGAUGGUGACCGACAGCAUCCUGCUGCUGAGCGGCCGGUCCCUGGGGGACAGUUCUCAGGUCUAAACUGGUGGUGGGAAACACUGAAGAAAAGAUGUAAAGCCCAGAGCCCAGAAGGAAGCUCCCCCGCCGCCAUCCCAAGCUCCUAGGGCAAAGAAGCUUAGCUGGUUCCAGCACCGGGAAGGAAGCUCCCCCACCGCCAGUCCUAUGCAAUCAUCUACAUAUAAAGAUUUUGCUUCUACCUUGCCAAUCCUAUCCUAAUUGUGUCAUUUUAUUGCCAGACUAUUUUGGUGGGGCCUAGGUUUCAAAGUUUAAUGGACCAAUAAAGAGUAAGCAUAUCUGCCCUUGUUCCCCACCUUAAGGAGAAAGCAUUGUAUCCUCUCCAUUCAUAUAAGGUGUUCUCACUAGAAGUAUGGAGUACAUGUCUUUAAUCUGUUGAGAAGGUUCUGUUCUACUUCUAGACUCCUGAUAGCUUUUAUCAUGAACAGCUGCAGAAUUUAGUCCAAUACUUUUUCUCCAACUAGUGACAGGAUCAUAUGGCUUUUUCCUUUCCUCUGUUAAAAUGAUGACUUUUGGGGGUGGAUCUUCCAAUGCUGAACCAACACUGCCAUCCCUAUAACAAAACCACUUUCUACAUACUGCCAGAUCUGACUUCUAAUAGUUUGUUUUGUUAAACACAUUUCUAUCUAUGUUCAUACUUUUUUCUUCUAUUCUCUUUAUCCAGUUUUAGGAUUAGCACAAUGUUGAUUUCCUACAAUGAGGGGAGAAGUGUUCCUUCUUUUUUCUGCUUUAAUUGUUUGAUAUAAUUUAUCAGUUAAAAUGUGUAUGAGCCUGCUGUUGUCAUAUAGGUAGGUUUUCAAGCUAGGAAUAUACUUUCUUUAAUAGGUGCUAUUCAAAUUUUAUAUUUCCUCCAGAGUUAGUUUCAUUAAUUUGUCUUCCAAGGUACUUCUUAGAAUUGUCAAAUUUAUUUCAAAACAGAUUUUUGAAAUAUGCUUUCUAUAUCCUUUUAAGUUCUGUAAAAUCUGUGGUAAUGUCUCCUAGAUCUUGAUGUUGUAAUUUUAAAAAUGUAUAACUGAUAUUGUGUAACAGGAAGAAAAGGUCUAAAGGUGCAGGGGAAGUUGGAGGGGUAGGGGAAAGGAAAGAAGGGAAACAAAAAAACAUGAGAAAAGGAAAAAAUGGAAACAAAGUCUUUGCAAAUAGGGAAGGGUGGAGGGGGUGAAGGGAGGGCAGGGGAAG
rnacentral:lncRNA from 1 species